rnacentral:lncRNA from 1 species
ACGCGUCGCGUCUCCUCUCGCGCCGUCUCGGCCUCGACUCGAUAGUCGAUACCCCCUCUCCUCCUCUCCUCUUCACCUCGGUCUCCGUCUCCUCUUCACACCUUCCUCCACCUUCGUUUCCCCCUCUCCCCUUCCCUCCCCUUCUCUCUUCCCCAGCUCACGCCGACCGCGCGAUCCCCCUGGUUGGUUGGUUGCUUCCUUCAUCCACUUCUCGCCGCCGAUUCUUCCAUUUCUCGAUUCCGAUGAGGUU